GCGGAAACCAGAGGGAGAAAGAUAGAGAAAGAGCUCAGGCAAGGACUGGUGGCAAAGGCAAGAACAAAGAUGAUGGUUUGACUCCUGAGCAACGCCGUGAAAGAGAUGCAAAAGCACUUCAAGAGAAGGCUGCAAAGAAGGCAGCGCAGGCAGCAGGGGGCAAUGAUGCUGGAGGUAAAAGCAACAAGAAAUAAUGAACUCUCUUGUUAUUAUGUUUCCUGAUUGUCUCUUACUUUAAAGAGACCCUCGUUUCCCCUUUUUCUCGCUUUACGUAUUUGUGUAUUUUCUUCUGCUACAAGGUCUCUGUUCUGUUCUGUAUGAUUUUCAUAUACACUUAAUGUGCAAUGUAAUCUUAAUUGAUACUGUAAUGUUGAUUUUGGUGCUUGUUGGUCGAUCUUUGUGUUCCUGUUUGAUGCACCUGAAUUUUCUCUGAUGAUCCUCUUUUAACCAUGUUCAUGUAAUCUUGUGAAACUGUUAAUUCCAACUUGCUGGAAGUCAAACAUUCCAUUUGUUAAAACUUAUGGACUCAUUUGUCAGUUGAGUGGUCCCAAGUCAACCUUCAUCCACAUUAUACUUGUUUUUGAAGGGAACUAUUGUACUUUUCUUUAUUUAUUUUUUAAUCUGAAUGUCUUCUACUAGUGGAGGAUGGUAUAGCAUUUUUGGAGACCUUGUCGAGUUUGCAAAAUUGUGGGCAUGACAAAGGAUUGGUUUGGAUGUUGAAAUGAGGCCUAUGAUGAGCCCAGCCAGACUUCUAUUUACCAUGAAGUGUCAAAAUGAUAACCGAAAUUUCAGUUACUUUUCAUAAACAGUGAAGUGCCUGAAAUUUGUUUGACAUAACUAAAAUUGAGAUACGUGUAUUGCAGUGCUCAAAGGUUAAGCUUACAAUUAAUCUUGACAUUCAGGGUUCAACUUUUGCCAUUUGGAAAUAACUUUUUGGGAAAUGCA